CCCUUCAUAAGUGGCGAUGACGCUUGGGUCUUGCGCAACAGGAACUUACGAACCGGGUCAGGUCAGGAAUGGAGCAGCCCUAAGUAAGCACUCUUGUGUGCCGCGAGGGUGCCUGGGCUGAGUUAACUGUGGAGGUAACGUCUGUGGUCGGGAUUCGACGCAGGAUGCUCGG
rnacentral:SRP_RNA from 1 species